GCCAGUAUAGCUCAGUUGGUAGAGCACGGGUUUUGUAAACCUGAGGUCGUGGGUCCGAGCCCCUCUGCUGGCUCCA
rnacentral:tRNA from 1 species